GGGUCUGAAUACUUUCCGAAUGCACUGUAUACUGCUAUAUAGGGUCUAUGAUAUGAUGUACAGUGCUCCAAGCCACCAUGAUAAAGGAAACAAACAACGUAUCCGCAACUUACACACGACCACAUUAUGAGUGCUGAAUGGAAAAAGUCUUAGUCAUAUGUUUAGUCUGUCUGUGCCACCAUUUUAGAGUCAUUGACCGGAAAAUAUGGAUGGUAGAACCAGGGAAUGUGAUUGUAAUGACAUUAAAACAAAUAAAGUGUUAAGUCACCAGAAUAUAAUGAGAGCAGCCUGUCACAUACCUCUAACAUGUGGAUGGACCAGGAUGUGGGUUAGUCAGUAUGAACCAUAUGUCUGAAACAAGCAUACCAGGGCCCAUAUCCAUAAAGGAUCAGGUCCCACAUGUUCAUACAAUCAUAAUCAUUAUAGUCUGAAAGGCUAAACAAACUGAGAUGCUUUAAGAAUACAGUCCCAGGUUCCAGUCACUUAUCUUAUCUCUGUUGUAUUCUUAAACUUUUUUCGCUGUAGGCUUUUCUAUGUGGUAGAAAAGGCUUCUCUCUGCUUUCAGACAUGAGCUAAAGUGUGUGUGUGUGUCCGUGCGUUAACCCUUUUCUAUUUACCGGUUGGUUGUAACAGAAGGCAAAGGGGACUUGGGAGUGACCUCCUAUUUGACUGAUGCUGAUGGUAACGUGAUCAUUGGUUCUAAAAGUAGAACUACCACUCCAUCAGAGAGGAGGAAGUCAGUCACUGGGAAGAACAUGCAUAAGAGAGAGGCCUCCAGAGUAGGAGGGGCAGAAAGAGGAAAACAAGACUGAGAAGGAGGAAGAAAAGAUGGUGGAGGACAAAACUGAUGCUGUACCCACAACCACAGACAAGAAAGAGGCUGCCCUGGCUCUCUGCAAGCAGGAGACCCUGCAGCAACCCACUGCUACAGCAGAUGAGGCAAAACCAGAUGAUGUCCCCACAUCUGAGAAACUGGCAGAGAAACCACAGAC